rnacentral:rRNA from 1 species
UACGGGGGGGGCAAGCGUUGUUCGGAAUUACUGGGCGUAAAGGGCUCGUAGGCGGCCAACUAAGUCAGACGUGAAAUCCCUCGGCUUAACCGGGGAACUGCGUCUGAUACUGGAUGGCUUGAGUUCGGGAGAGGGAUGUGGAAUUCCAGGUGUAGCGGUGAAAUGCGUAGAUAUCGGGAGGAACACCAGUGGCGAAGGCGACUUCCUGGCCUGUUCUUGACGCUGAGGCGCGAAAGCUAGGGGAGCAAACGGG